rnacentral:tRNA from 3 species
AGCUCAGCUUGGUAGAGCACUUGGUUUGGGACCAAGGGGUCGCAGGUUCGAAUCCUGUC